ACAACGAAAAAAAGUUAAAAAACCCUAAAUUGAAAAAACUCUCAGCUCACUCUCACCACCAAACUCAGAUCGAUCACUCUCAACACCAAACUCUCAAACAAACCCUCACUCUCUAUCACUCUAAACACCACGCCUCAUCGACGCCACCGCCACCUCCGAGAACCGAUUGCCACCACCGCCACCUCGAACCUCUCUGUUAGCCAUCAUAGAUUACUCGCAAAGGGUGGACUUGAUUCAGGAUCUGAGGUUUGAAACUGCAACCACCAAGAUUAAGGCAACUCCUGAUGGGGAGUUUCUUAUAGCGUCAGGUUUGAACAUGAAGCCAGUUCUUAGAGCAAAUGGAACUCCAUACUUCGAUCCCCUGCUGGUUUUUUAUGUAAGGGACGUGAUGCACACCAAGGAGCUGGACAUGCCGAUUAUACAAGUGGAAAUGGAGCUGAACUUGCACAAGACCCUUUGUCAUUUUCUAGUGGCCCAAUUACAAGACUUAGAGCCAAACGUUUCAAGGAAGCACUAAAUGGGAUAGUCCAAGAGAAUUGGGCUGAUUCUAAAAAGACCAAGAUGGGCUCAAAUAAUAAUCAAGGCUUAGUUCAUGUCAUCAAAGCAAUUGAAGAGGCUAAUGCAUGCAAAUUCGCAACCAGCAUGGUCUGACCAUAAAAGGGUGCGAAUUUGUUAAGUUCCGAGGAUAUUAAAUGGGAAGAUGUCUUGGUAGCAUGGUUUGACCAUAAAAGGGUGUGAAUUUGUUAAGUUCUAAGGAUAUUAAAUGGGAAGAUGCCUUGGUAUUGGCUGGGCAUGUUAAUUCUAGUCAUUUAGCUAUUUUUUACUGCCUUUAGAAGUCCUAGAAAACUAAAAAAAUGUGGGAACUUGAUUAUAUUAAUUUUUGUGUUGUUUUUGAAGUUGUAAUUAUGAUUUUUACCUAUUCUUGGAGGGUUGUUCCAAGUAUAUAUCUAGUAGUAUGAAUUUUAAAGAGGACAGAUUGGUAUUCAGAAAAUUAUUCUCCUUA